UGAGCUUUAGAUUGUCCUGUGUUA
rnacentral:piRNA from 1 species